UCCCUGGUGGCUCAGUGGUAAACAAUCUGCCUGCAAUGCAGAAUACCCAGGUUCAAUCCCUGGGUUGGGAA
rnacentral:tRNA from 1 species